ACUGGUGUAAGCCUGUAGGGCGAGAUCUAGGCAAAUCCGGAUCUCAUAUAGCCUGAGAGGUGAUGCGUAGCCGUUGCGGUGAAUUCCAUGAUCCUAUGCUGCCGAGAAAAGCCUCUAGCGAGAUCUGAUGUGGCCCGUACCCCAAACCAACACAGGUGGUCAGGUAGAGAAUACCAAGGAGAUCGAGAGAACUGUGGUUAAGGAACUCGGCAAAAUGCCCCCGUAACUUCGGGAGAAGGGGGACCUCGCAUGGUGACCGGAUUUACUCCGUGAGCUGUGUGGGGUCGCAGAGACCAGAGAGAAGCGACUGUUUACUAAAAACACAGGUCCAUGCGAAGUCGUAAGACGAUGUAUAUGGACUGACGCCUGCCCGGUGCUGGAAGGUUAAGAGGACCGGUUAGCCGUAAGGCGAAGCUGAGA
rnacentral:rRNA from 1 species